AGUGCAGUUCAGCACCUUUUCAGAUUCCUGUUGGCCAUUUGUGGAGUCUCACUCUGUAGCCCAAGCUGGAGUGGUGUGAUCUCGACUCACUGCAACCUCCGCCUCCUGGGCUCAAGUGAUUCUCGUGCCUCAGCCUCCUGAGUAGCUGGGACUACAGCUCAGCAAGGCCCACAUUUUCCCGGUGAAGCCACAGAACCACAGGGAGAAACCCAUGGACUUCGCCUCUCUCUCUAGGGGACCAGAUGUGCAGAGGUAAUGAAUACCAGGGAAUCAGGAAACCACUGGAUCAGUUCUUUGAGCCACAGAACAACACUCAUCCCAGCAGCUGGGAAGCUAUCUGCAAAAGUCCAUCUGCAGAAAGGGCUUCCUGGUCUUGCGUGUGGCUGGGCCAUUUCUCUGGAUGCAGGUUUUUCAUUAUACAGUCUUCUCAAAGAAACACCUGCUCUCAACACC
rnacentral:antisense_RNA from 1 species